UCAUCUGGUUUGUCAUCUGGUUUGUCAUCUGGUUUGUCAUCUGGUUUGUCAUCUGGUUUGUCAUCUGG
rnacentral:antisense_RNA from 1 species